AUACCUGGCGGCAGCCUAACCAUGCAAGUCGAGCGGAUGACAGGAGCUUGCUCCUGAAUUCAGCGGCGGACGGGUGAGUAAUGCCUAGGAAUCUGCCUGGUAGUGGGGGACAACGUUUCGAAAGGAACGCUAAUACCGCAUACGUCCUACGGGAGAAAGCAGGGGACCUUCGGGCCUUGCGCUAUCAGAUGAGCCUAGGUCGGAUUAGCUAGUUGGUGAGGUAAUGGCUCACCAAGGCGACGAUCCGUAACUGGUCUGAGAGGAUGAUCAGUCACACUGGAACUGAGACACGGUCCAGACUCCUACGGGAGGCAGCAGUGGGGAAUAUUGGACAAUGGGCGAAAGCCUGAUCCAGCCAUGCCGCGUGUGUGAAGAAGGUCUUCGGAUUGUAAAGCACUUUAAGUUGGGAGGAAGGGCAGUAAAUUAAUACUUUGCUGUUUUGACGUUACCGACAGAAUAAGCACCGGCUAACUCUGUGCCAGCAGCCGCGGUAAU
rnacentral:rRNA from 1 species